GAUGAACGCUGGCGGCGUGCUUAACACAUGCAAGUCGAACGAACUAAGGAGAGCUUGCUCUCCAAAGUUAGUGGCGGACGGGUGAGUAACGCGUGGGUAACCUGCCCUAUGCAGGGGGAUAACGUUUGGAAACGAACGCUAAUACCGCAUAAACUAUCGGUAGUCGCAUGACUACUAUAGUAAAGAUGCAGAUUUUAGUCUGUUUUCGGCAUAGGAUGGACCCGCGUCGGAUUAGCUAGUUGGUGAGAUAACAGCCCACCAAGGCAACGAUCCAUAGCCGGCCUGAGAGGGUGAACGGCCACAUUGGGACUGAGACACGGCCCAAACUCCUACGGGAGGCAGCAGUGGGGAAUAUUGCACAAUGGGCGAAAGCCUGAUGCAGCAACGCCGCGUGAAGGAUGAAGGUCUUCGGAUUGUAAACUUCUAUCAGUAGGGAAGAAUAAAUGACGGUACCUAACUAAGAAGCUCCGGCUAACUACGUGCCAGCAGCCGCGGUAAUACGUAGGGAGCAAGCGUUAUCCGGAUUUACUGGGUGUAAAGGGUGCGUAGGCGGCUUGUUAAGUCAGAAGUGAAAUUUCGGGGCUCAACCCCGGAGCUGCUUCUGAAACUGGCGAGCUAGAGUGUGGGAGAGGAAAGUGGAACUUUGAGUGUAGCGGUGAAAUGCGUAGAGAUUCAAAGGAACACCAGUAGCGAAGGCGGCUUUCUGGACCAUAACUGACGCUGAGGCACGAAAGCGUGGGGAGCAAACAGGAUUAGAUACCCUGGUAGUCC
rnacentral:rRNA from 1 species